rnacentral:rRNA from 1 species
UUUUUUAAUUGAAAACUUGUAUGAAUGGUUGAACGAAAUAUUAACUGUUUCAAAUAAAUUUAUUAAAAUUUUAUUUUUUAGUUAAAAAGCUAAAAUAUUAUUAGAGGACGAGAAGACCCUAUAGAGUUUUAUAUUUACGUUUUUAUAAUUUAUUAAGAAUAGUUUAAAUUUAUAAAUAUAAAUAUUUUAUUGGGGUGAUAAUAAAAUUUAAUAAACUUUUAUAUAUAUUAAUAACAUUAAUAAAUGAGUGAUUGAUCCAGUUUUAUUGAUUAAAAAUUUAAAUUACCUUAGGGAUAACAGCGUAAUUUUUUUUUAGAGUUCAUAUCGAUAAAAAUGUUUGC